UGGGGAAUAUUGCACAAUGGGCGCAAGCCUGAUGCAGCCAUGCCGCGUGUGUGAAGAAGGCCUUCGGGUUGUAAAGCACUUUCAGCGAGGAGGAAGGUGGUGAAGCUUAAUACGUCAUCAAUUGACGUUACUCGCAGAAGAAGCACCGGCUAACUCCGUGCCAGCAGCCGCGGUAAUACGGAGGGUGCAAGCGUUAAUCGGAAUUACUGGGCGUAAAGCGCACGCAGGCGGUUUGUUAAGUCAGAUGUGAAAUCCCCGGGCUCAACCUGGGAACUGCAUUUGAAACUGGCAAGCUAGAGUCUCGUAGAGGGGGGUAGAAUUCCAGGUGUAGCGGUGAAAUGCGUAGAGAUCUGGAGGAAUACCGGUGGCGAAGGCGGCCCCCUGGACGAAGACUGACGCUCAGGUGCGAAAGCGUGGGGCAGCAAACAGGAUUAGAUACCCUGGUAGUCCACGCUGUAAACGAUGUCGAUUUUGGAGGUUGUGCCCUUGAGGCGUGGCUUCCGGAGCUAACGCGUUAAAUCGACCG
rnacentral:rRNA from 1 species